GAUGAACGCUAGCGGCAGGCCUAAUACAUGCAAGUCGAACGGGAUCCAGAUCAAAGCUUGCUUUGGUCUGGUGAGAGUGGCGCACGGGUGCGUAACGCGUGAGCAACCUACCCUUGUCAGGGGGAUAGCCCGGCGAAAGUCGGAUUAAUACCGCAUGACAUCAUUGAGAGGCAUCUUUCGAUGAUCAAAGAUUUAUCGGACAAGGAUGGGCUCGCGUGACAUUAGCUAGUUGGCAAGGUAACGGCUUACCAAGGCUGCGAUGUCUAGGGGCUCUGAGAGGAGAAUCCCCCACACUGGUACUGAGACACGGACCAGACUCCUACGGGAGGCAGCAGUAAGGAAUAUUGGUCAAUGGACGGAAGUCUGAACCAGCCAUGCCGCGUGCAGGAGGACGGCCCUAUGGGUUGUAAACUGCUUUUAUACGGGAACAAACGUCGGUACGUGUACCGGUCUGAGUGUACCGUAAGAAUAAGGAUCGGCUAACUCCGUG
rnacentral:rRNA from 1 species